GACGAACGCUGGCGGCGUGCUUAACACAUGCAAGUCGAGCGGUAAGGCCCUUUCGGGGGUACACGAGCGGCGAACGGGUGAGUAACACGUGGGUGACCUGCCCUCAGCUCUGGGAUAAGCCUGGGAAACCGGGUCUAAUACUGGAUAUGACUCCAUGACGCAUGUUGUGGGGUGGAAAGCCUUGUGCGGCUGAGGAUGGGCCCGCGGCCUAUCAGCUUGUUGGUGGGGUGANGGCCUACCAAGGCGACGACGGGUAGCCGGCCUGAGAGGGCGACCGGCCACACUGGGACUGAGACACGGCCCAGACUCCUACGGGAGGCAGCAGUGGGGAAUCUUGCGCAAUGGGCGAAAGCCUGACGCAGCGACGCCGCGUGAGGGAUAGACGGCCU
rnacentral:rRNA from 1 species